AUUUAAGUAAUUUAAUAUAAAAUAUUGAUUUGUGGUGUCAAAUAUGUAAGUGCUUACCUUAAAUU
rnacentral:tRNA from 1 species